CGAUAGGGGCGCGACAUCCGUGUCCCGCGGGCCAUAAGCAGGACAACAGGGGUCAGCUGUCUCCCCCAACGUUGGCACGAUCGAACACCAUCAUCAUGCUUGGUGGCAGCGGUCGCAAGGAAGAUCAUCGACAGGAUCCGAAGACAGCCGCCCUCCUCCAGUGGAUGCGCUGAUAGGAACCGAAGGCCAGAGCAGGAGGCAGCGGCCUGGGGACUUGGUCCUUCUCCUUGCAUUUACU
rnacentral:lncRNA from 1 species